rnacentral:rRNA from 1 species
UACAGAGGGUGCGAGCGUUGUCCGGAAUCACUGGGCGUAAAGGGCGUGUAGGCGGCUGGAUAAGCCGCGUGUGAAAUCCCGGGGCUCAACCCCGGAACGGCACGCGGGACUGUUCGGCUAGAGAAUGGUAGAGGCGAGUGGAAUUCCUGGUGUAGCGGUGAAAUGCGUAGAUAUCGAGAGGAACACCUGCGGCGAAGGCGGGUUGCUGGGCCGACACUGACGCUGAAGCGCGAAAGCUAGGGGAGCGAACGGG